rnacentral:misc_RNA from 1 species
UAGCAUGGAUGUAUAUAAUUCACUGUGGAAUUUCAAAGUGGACUAUAGAGUGAGUGAAUAUUUCUAUAGUUUUUCAUUUAUUUUUAUUGUCCUGUUUGGUUGUGAAGAAGUGUGCACAGUUGUUGAUAUAUUUUUUUUCCCUAGUCAUGUCUUUGGAUUGUUUAUGGCUUAUAAUGUUACUAAUUCUUGUGGUUCUUUAUCUUUAUUGAUUAUUCUUUUUCAUGUGGAUUCUGCAGGGAACA